GAAGGAGGAGCCACGCCCGCCUUUCUGCCUUGGCCGCCGGCAGUGGGGGCUGCGCCUGGGUACCGCGGUGGGUAAUCUGGGCGCCGGGCCGCGAGGCUGCCGGGAAUGGAAGAGGGCCGUGCAGAGAGGCGACGGAGGACGGAAGCUCCUUCACACCCGCAGGGUGGUACUGGAAGGGCAGGUGUCAUGACUGACGUCCACCGGCGAUUCCUCCAGUUGUUGAUGACUCACGGAGUGCUGGAGGAGUGGGACGUUCAGCGCCUGCAGAAGCACUGCUAUCGGGUCCAUGACCGACUCUCUGGGCUUGGCAAGCUCCGUAACCACGAGGAAGCGAAUGUUGCUUUCACGCCCCUGGCUUCUGAAGGACUCGAGGGGUCCAGAUCCCAGCCUGCUCUCAACAGUGUGCUGCACAGCCCCCAGGGUGGGACGGACCCCGGUGGCCAGCACAGAUUUCCUGAGCCAGGAGCUCUGGGUGCUCCACACUCUUCUAAGUGUGGACAUCAUUGGUUUUGGAUUGCAUUUUGUACUGGUUCCCAAACACGAGGGAGGUUCUGUGUGGCCAGUGGAGGGCCGGGGAGGACAGAGGUCCCAGUCAGGGACUUAGAGAAGUUCUUUUAGUUUCUGAGUCUCAGCUUUCUGUUUUCGAAAAGAAAUCUUACCUACCUCAUGGAAAAGUCACGAGGGUUAAACAGGGAAAAUUCUGUUAUGUGCCUGAUACAGAGUGCUUCCUGGGUCAUGUUCAGUACGUGCUACUCGCUGCCCCUUCCUUCUUGUGUGACCCUUCCUGUGUCAUCUGACCCCACAUCCUGGGGAUGGGGUGUGGGGGUAGUGACUAUCAGAAGAUUCAUAGUGCUGAUACAUAGGAUGAUCUAGACCAUAGGGCUGAAUUUCUGGUGCUGGCAUUUUCUCCCCAAAUCCAGAAAGUGUGGUCCCUAUGUCCUAAUGGAAGGAAGUCACAAGUGUGGAUGUUGAGCUGGGGAGGGGCCUUGUGGGCAGGCAGGAGGCCCACGUGAUGGGAGUGUGGAGCAAGGGGGUGCACGCCGGGAUCACAAAGGAGUGUGGCUAAGGGUGAUGGAGCCCCCAGUGGCUGUGCGGAGAGGGGGUGCCAGGACCUGGCCCUGUUCUGGCUGUGUAUGGGGGACAGGGGUAGAGGGCUACGAUGGGUCUCCCAGAAGACUGUGGGAAGCUGGUCCACACUCCAGGGAUGAGGAGAAUUGGAGAAAUUGGCCAGAGUCCCCCACCCUCGCAGCACCCUGGGCCUGCACACACCAUUCUGCCGCCUCCUUCAUGCCUCCUGGGAGCGGGGCACUGAGCUGAGUCUUGCAUGUGGACCUAAACAGAGACCACCCAAAUGGGGAUAGGCAGACGCUGCUUGUUCAAAGCUUGCUGUGGCAAGGGAGGCAGGCCCCUCACUGGUGUUUUGGCAGAGACCCACUGGCAGGUGUUGGGUGUGCCCUGACUGGAGGCUGGGGGCCGGUUACCUCGAAGCAGGGCAUCUCCUGGGAGCAUAUUCAGCUUUCUGUGGUUGCUCCUAAGUUGGAAGAAGGAACCAAAAGCUAGGGAAGCCGUCAGUUACAAAGCAGGUCCUGGUCAUCAUGCAGCAAUUACCACACGGGUUAUCGUCGGGCUUCCGGGACCGGUUGCUAGAGGUAGUGGUCUGACUUUCCAGAAGGCUGGCUUCUAGGUGGCGGGCUGGCUCCCAGGGCUGGUUACUGUAGAUGAGGGGUUGCUUCUCUGGGCUGGUGGCUGCAGAUGGUGGGUCAGAGUCCUUUUCUUAUUUGUGGUCUGUUCCUGGUCUGUAUACUUCUUUUUCUUGCACUUUGCUUAAUGCUCUUUCUACAUGUUGCUUUUUUUUUUUUUUUUUAACAAAUCAAAGUUUUGUGGCAAUCCCGCAUCAAGCAAGUCUGUUGGUGCCUUUUUUCCAACAGCCUGUCUCUGUGUCACAUUCUGGUCAUUCUUGGCAAUAUUUCAAAUGUUUUCAUUAUAUUUGUUACAGUGAUCUGGGAUCCUGUUGAUUACAGCUCACUGACAACUCGUGAUGCUCAGCAUCUUUAGCAAUCAUGUAUUUUUAAAUGAAGGGCCGUGCAUUUUGUUUUAGACAUAGUGCCAUUGCAUAUUUAGUAGAUGACAGUGUGGCGUAAGUGUAACUUUUAUAUGCACUGGGAAGCCAGAAAAUUCACUUGACUGGCUUUACUGUGAUGCUGCUUGAUUGUGGUGGUUUGGAAUGAAGCCCGUGUUAUCUCUGAGGUAUGUCUGUACUCAGUCUCUCAGAAGAAUGAGUGUGACACAGUUUGUUCCUUUGAAUUAUUCACAGCUCAGCCCAUAGCCUCUUAUCUGGUGGGUCAGAGAACAGAGUGGCCCCAUUAGUCAUUGUGUCUCUUUAUGGCAGGGUCCCAGCCCAUAUCAGAAUUUGAAAACCAGGGAUAGUCAAUGGUAUCUAGCUGACGGGCACAGUUUGUUUGCCCUAUCGUGUUUUAAAAACUAAUGACCACGUUAAAAAACAAACCAACCGGGAGAUUUCUCAUAAAAAUCCGAAGAUUGGGCAUGUGGCUGAAGGAGAGUAGUCCCACUGCUCUUGGUGGGAUGUGUGUCCUCCACAUCACCCACCGCAUCCGCUCUUAUCCCCAUCUGGGCUUCUGCCUGGCCUCUGUGGGCAUCCGAUUCUGUCAGGACCAACAAGCUGGGCUCAGCUGAAACCCGGGGAGGAGGAAGCUUAUGCACCAGGGAUAGAGCCGAGCCAGUUUGCUUUUAGCGGGUGGGCGGUCAGUCCCCGCAGAGCCCCUUCAUCUGCUCCUGAGGUUCCCGGGGUGGUGGGAGUGGAGGCCGCCUCUGGUCUCAACGGUAGAUGGCCCACCUGUGUUCAAAGGCUGAGAUGAAGUGAAAUGCAAUUAAUAGCAUCAACAGCCAAGUUCUGCUGAAAGUGGCUCAGGUUUCUGAUGACUCACAUUGUAAUUCAGGAGGCCGCCUGCCCCAGCACCUUCGUGACAAAGAGGCAGCACCGUUCAGUUGCCGACCGGAGCACUGACCCACAGAGCUCUGGUGAGGGGCCUGGCCGGUGGGUCAAAGGGCAGACUUUCUAACUGAAGUUAGAUUAAAAACAAAAAACAAAGAACAACUCUGUGUACUUGGAAACAGCUCUCUAAGCAACAGAUUUAAGAACAGUCCGUUAUUCAAAGACUGUCCAUCCCCCCCGGCCCCCUCUGUACCAUCAGAGGCCUGAGCUCAUCUAUCUUGGCACGGGGCACUGCCAUUUUUCUCUUUUUGGAUUCAGAAACCUGAGGGUGAAGGCAUCAGGUCACAUUGUUGGUGAGGCUUGAGAUACUUUUUUUUUUACCCUUAAAAGGGAAAAGUCAAACAGAAAAGUAGACUAAUACAGUGAAGCCCAUCGCUCAGCUAAAAUGGCAACUCAUAACUAAUCUUGUUUUAUCUACACAUCUCCUACCUACUUAACCCAUAUUAUUUUGAAGUAAUUCUUAAGACAUAGUUGCGUAUCUAAGCAAAACUUUUUCUUUUGAAUGAAUGCUCAAGUCCUUUUGUCUCCCUACCAAAAACUAAAGGCCAGCCCUCAGAUUGCCAGUCUGCACUCCGUCCCUCGCUGGCCCUGGCUUCUUGGGUAAGCCCUUAAGCUCCGUGACCCCUGGUGUCCUCUAUGGAAGUGCCCAGACCCUGCUGUAUCCGGCUCGCCGGUGGUUGUUCACGAGGCUCUGAUGAGAUCACGAGGGGGUGGAAGCGGGGUACACGGUGCCCUGCUGCACAGAUACAGGGAAUUACUUAUCGAACGUACUGGCCACGUGAAAGACCGCCCCCUCCCUCCCUGCUCUUCCAGUGCCCCUGACCGGCCAGACUUUGGAAGCGGCAUCGUUGUCCGUUCCCGUCUUUCUUGCACGCCCCGGAGUGUCCAGAGUCCUUUUCCCAGGCAGUUGAUGGGAAGGUCGCAGGCUGAGAUGUGACCCCUUAUACAGCCUGUCUGGCGCUGUGUCCCUGCCCACCAGACUUUCCCAGCCCCCGGUGUGCCCCAGUGCCCGUGUCCGACCCGGGGCCUGGCCUGCCCCCUCCCCAGCGCUGCACUCAGGGGGACCACCCGGCCGGCCCAUCAGGUGAGGGGCCUGUCACAGGGCGAGUUGGCCCACAAGUGGUUUGGUCCCUUGGGGUCUUAUUUUUUGCUGUUAUUUCCUCUGCCUAAAAAUAGCAUUUUCUAUCUAUAGUUGCCUAGUUUGGAACAAAACUAUUUGUUGCUCAGAAGGUAGGGCAGCAGACUUCCUGACUGCCUGCCCCCCAAGUGUGCGGUGAAUCCCCGGUUCCAGUAGCCUCCUGAAAAGCAGGGACCCUGAUUAGCAAGAAGAGGUUUAAUUGAAUUUUAAGAGAAAAGGAGAGAAUAGAUACAGAAGUGGCCAGAAAAAGCAGUCUCUCAAAAUGAAGAAGCCUGGCUUGUCAGAGGAAUGGUGGUCCCUUUUGUGUGGUGCCGCCCCGGCCUGGGGACUACCCGGAGUCCCCUUUUUUGAACUGUCCCAUUGGAAGGGCAUUUCCUACUAAAGAAAGAGCUCUUCUGUCCUCUCCUGGGCCUUGGCCUUUCGGCCCCCCACAUGGCAGGGUGUGUGUUCCCAGAGAAGGCUCACUCUUCUCUGCUGAGGCCCUGUGGCUUCGUGCUCAGGAUGUGGGGUCAGGCCGGCCUGGGCACCCUUGCUGAGCGAUGGGGACUCUCCCCAAGCCUCUUGCGUAUCAAGAUGAUAUUCGUGACUCGAAUUCUGGAGCCCUUCUGGUAGUGAGGACGUGAAGCAGGCGAGUGAGCAGUGCCCAGCACACGCUCCGGUGAAUUACAGCCACGCGUUUGUAGGCUCGCUGUUUGUAGCUCGUCUGGAGCAACUUUGCCCCAGCCCACAGGAAGGCCCAGGGACACCCUGUUCCCAAGGAGAGAGGACCCCGGGGCCUCCUAAGAUCCAUAGACCUCUGCUUGGUUCGGACAUGGUGCCACGUGCCGGUUUUGGGGGUUACCUGCUCUCUGAGAAGAGACAGUGGUGGUGGGUCCGGGGCCUUGCUCGUCACUUCUUGGAGCUGGUCCUCCCGUGGUGCUGACUGCAGGUCCGUGGUGUUGAGGGACCCAGCCUCUGAUCCAGCUCAACCUGCAAAAAAAUCUGGUAACUUCGAUACUUAGCUGAAGCCUGUCUUUUUUCUCAAUGGGUUUGCAAUUCUGAAGGGAGGAGUGAUGUUAUUAAUUAAUUCUCUUAAGUCGUCAACAUGGCAGGGCUAAGGCUGGAAAUAAUUGCCUCAGAAGUGUGUGGUUCAGCCUUUUAUCUUACGCACUUUAUCAUGACCAUGGCCUUACAGGAUAUUGGGGCCCAAGGGAUCCUCUGACUGUCCUUUGGCCCAGGGUGUUCAUACAGAUCUACAGACUGGAGCUUCUAGGCUUCAGGAGCAGGGCAGGGCGUGGAGGCAUGGCCGUGCAAACAGCUCCUUGGAGGACUGGAGGUCGGGAAGCACUAGUCCCGUGUACCCGUGACACUUGAUGGGCCCGUCGGGGUGCUUGGUAGCAAGCAAGUGACCCAAUUCUGGCCGAGUUUAAAAGAACCAUGUUGGAAGGGCGUUGGGGACAGGAACACACAGGACUGGUUGACAGCCAGGGGCCAGACUGGGGAAUGGGCAGGACCCAGAGGGCACCAGGACACAGGAUGACCGUCUGGCCAAAGCCAUCUUCCCACCUUCCCACCUCCUGGUGGCCGAGCUGGAACCACCUCAAGCUCUCCUUUUGUCCCUUCCUAGAUCAAGAGUGUCCAUCUGAUAGGCUGAGCACGGGGUCUGGGGCCACUCCUCCUGAUCUCAGUUCUGGUCCCAUCAGCUUCCUGCCUUCCGGUUCUCUGGAAAAGGGUACCUGGAAUUAUUCUUCUCCACAGAUCACACUUUUAGGGGAAAGACAAUUAAAAAAAAAAAAAGCUAAGGUCUGGUUAGAGAUGGAAAUGUCUAUCGGCAGUCAAACGUUACCAGGUGACCCCAGGAGUGGGGCGGCCAGAUCUAGUAACUGGGGCAGCCGAGUGAUCAGGGAAGGCAGUGCUUGGGAGCUGCAGGGGGCCAAGGCAUGGGCACCUCCCCUCGGCUGGUCUGGUCGGAGAGGCGUGCCCGGGAGGGGACGUGUCCAGGAUGCCGGGGGAGUGGGAGGCUGGGGGCUUGGAGCAAGAGGUGGCCCUAGAGAGUGAGAGGGAUGUGUUCUAGACUCGUGAAGUUGGAAGCAAGGCAGUGGGUGGCCUUCAGGGAUGAGAGAAAGAGCAAGACUCACCUGAGGACCCCCAGAGAGGCGGGGUGGAACUGGGCUGGCCCCAUGGCACCUGCUGUUGCCCCCAAAACUCAAGUUGGGUGGGGGGUGUUCCUGAACACCAGAGAAGUGUAUUCUCUCCAUUAAGAAGGAGAUAGUAUGGCACAGGGCGUGAGAAACACACACAAUGUCAGCAGUGGGCAGGGAUGCGGACAUGCCCUUGACAUAGGAAGCCGUGUGGUCGGAGACCAAGAGGAGAGAACGUCAGCACUUGAGCAGGUGGCAGGUUCCUGCAGGAACAGCAAUAGGAAGUGGGUUUUUUCGUUUUUGUUUUGGUCUUUUGGGGUUUUUUUGUUGUUGUUCAGUGAAAACAUUCAUGUUUCUGAAAAAUGAGAGUGGACAGCACGCCGGAGGGGUGGGAGAGGGGAAAGCGCAGAGUGGCUAUUAGCUCAUCUCCAUGCAGGCGAGGUAUCUGGAAAGUCCGCCCUAUUGCAGUGUUUGUGAUCGGCCCACAGGGUACAUUUUUCUGAACCAUACCCAAGAGUGGCCUUUUCGGUGGAAAAUGUGCAUUAUCACUUUCAGGGGGAGGUGGGACUUGCCAUUGUGUCAUAUUGGGUGGACGGAGCGGCUC